rnacentral:rRNA from 1 species
UACGUAGGGGGCAAGCGUUGUCCGGAUUUAUUGGGCGUAAAGAGCGUGUAGGCGGCUUUACAGGUCCGUUGUGAAAACUCGAGGCUCAACCUCGAGACGCCGGUGGAAACCGUAAAGCUAGAGUCCGGAAGAGGAGAGUGGAAUUCCUGGUGUAGCGGUGAAAUGCGCAGAUAUCAGGAGGAACACCCGUGGCGAAAGCGGCUCUCUGGGACGGUACUGACGCUGAGACGCGAAAGUGUGGGGAUCAAACAGG